ensembl:snoRNA
AAGCCCACAAAUGAAUCUGCUUAUCUGAAUGUGUUUCUGCAGAAACUUAGGAAAAGCUGGCAAUGGUAAAGCCAUGUUAUGAGCCUUACUUAAAAAUAAAAUUUUGGGGGGCGCCUGGGUGGCGCAGUC